UGAGGAAUAUUGGUCAAUGGACGGAAGUCUGAACCAGCCAUGCCGCGUGAAGGAUGAAGGCGUUCUGCGUUGUAAACUUCUUUUAUCUGGGAAGAAACCACAGAUUUCUAUUUGUGUUGACGGUACCAGAAGAAUAAGCACCGGCUAACUCCGUGCCAGCAGCCGCGGUAAUACGGAGGGUGCGAGCGUUAUCCGGAUUUACUGGGUUUAAAGGGUGCGUAGGCGGGCUAUUAAGUCAGAGGUGAAAUCUCCGGGCUCAACCUGGAAACUGCCUUUGAUACUAUUAGCCUUGAAUUAUGUUGAGGUAGGCGGAAUAUAGCAUGUAGCGGUGAAAUGCUUAGAUAUGUUAUGGAACACCGAUUGCGAAGGCAGCUGGCUAAACAUAUAUUGACGCUGAUGCACGAAAGCGUGGGUAGCGAACA
rnacentral:rRNA from 1 species